UGGGGCGUAGCUCAGUUGGUAGAGCGUUCGCUUUGCAUGUGAAAGGUGCCGGGUUCAAGCCGCGGCGCCUCAU